rnacentral:rRNA from 1 species
UACGGAGGGAGCUAGCGUUGUUCGGAAUUACUGGGCGUAAAGCGCACGUAGGCGGCUUUGUAAGUUAGAGGUGAAAGCCCGGGGCUCAACCCCGGAAUUGCCUUUAAGACUGCAUCGCUUGAAUCCAGGAGAGGUGAGUGGAGUUCCGAGUGUAGAGGUGAAAUUCGUAGAUAUUCGGAAGAACACCAGUGGCGAAGGCGGCUCACUGGACUGGUAUUGACGCUGAGGUGCGAAAGCGUGGGGAGCAAACAGG